UACGAAGGAUGCAAGCGUUAUCCGGAUUUAUUGGGUUUAAAGGGUGCGUAGGCGGACUUAUAAGUCAGUGGUGAAAUCUCGAUGCUUAACAUCGAACGUGCCAUUGAUACUGUAGGUCUUGAGUACAGAUGCCGUUGGCGGAAUGUGUCAUGUAGCGGUGAAAUGCAUAGAUAUGACACAGAACACCGAUUGCGAAGGCAGCUGACGAAACUGUAACUGACGCUGAGGCACGAAAGCGUGGGGAGUCAAACAGGGAUUAA
rnacentral:rRNA from 1 species